CCUACGGGAGGCAGCAGUGAGGAAUAUUGGUCAAUGGCCGUAAGGCUGAACCAGCCAAGUCGCGUGAAGGAAGAAGGAUCUAUGGUUUGUAAACUUCUUUUAUAGGGGAAUAAAGGUAUCCACGUGUGGAUAUUUGCAUGUACCCUAUGAAUAAGCAUCGGCUAACUCCGUGCCAGCAGCCGCGGUAAUACGGAGGAUGCGAGCGUUGUCCGGAUUUAUUGGGUUUAAAGGGUGCGUAGGUUGUUUUUUAAGUCAGCGGUGAAAGUUUGUGGCCCAACCAUAAAAUUGCAGUUGAAACUGGAAGACUUGAGUGUGUUUGAGGUAGGCGGAAUGCGUGGUGUAGCGGUGAAAUGCAUAGAUAUCACGCAGAACUCCGAUUGCGAAGGCAGCUUACUAAGCCAUAACUGACACUGAAGCACGAAAGCGUGGGGAGCAAACAGGAUUAGAUACCCUGGUAGUC
rnacentral:rRNA from 1 species